rnacentral:rRNA from 1 species
AUGCACGCUGGCGGCGUGCCUCAUCCCUGCCUGUCGCGCGCACAGACGAGGAGCUUGCUCCUCUGACGUUAGCGGCGGACGGGGGAGUAACACGUGGAUAACCUACCUAUAAGACUGGGAUAACUUCGGGAAACCGGAGCUAAUACCGGAUAAUAUAUUGAACCGCAUGGUUCAAUAGUGAAAGACGGUUUUGCUGUCACUUAUAGAUGGAUCCGCGCCGCAUUAGCUAGUUGGUAAGGUAACGGCUUACCAAGGCAACGAUGCGUAGCCGACCUGAGAGGGUGAUCGGCCACACUGGAACUGAGACACGGUCCAGACUCCUACGGGAGGCAGCAGUAGGGAAUCUUCCGCAAUGGGCGAAAGCUUGACGGAGCAACGCCGCGUGAGUGAUGAAGGUCUUCGGAUCGUAAAACUCUGUUAUUAGGGAAGAACAAAUGUGUAAGUAACUAUGCACGUCUUGACGGUACCUAAUCAGAAAGCCACGGCUAACUACGUG